CCUACGGGAGGCUGCAGUGGGGAAUAUUGGACAAUGGGCGAAAGCCUGAUCCAGCCAUGCCGCGUGUGUGAAGAAGGCCUUCGGGUUGUAAAGCACUUUCAGUGGGGAAGAAAGCCUUGGGGCUAAUACCCUCGAGGAAGGACAUCACCCACAGAAGAAGCACCGGCUAACUCCGUGCCAGCAGCCGCGGUAAUACGGAGGGUGCGAGCGUUAAUCGGAAUUACUGGGCGUAAAGCGCGCGUAGGCGGUCUGAUAAGCCGGUUGUGAAAGCCCCGGGCUCAACCUGGGAACGGCAUCCGGAACUGUCAGGCUAGAGUGCAGGAGAGGAAGGUAGAAUUCCCGGUGUAGCGGUGAAAUGCGUAGAGAUCGGGAGGAAUACCAGUGGCGAAGGCGGUCUUCUGGACUGACACUGACGCUGAGGUGCGAAAGCGUGGGUAGCAAACAGGAUUAGAUACCCCAGUAGUC
rnacentral:rRNA from 1 species